rnacentral:rRNA from 1 species
ACCCUGUGAACAUACCUAUAACGUUGCCUCGGCGGGAACAGACGGCCCCGUAACACGGGCCGCCCCCGCCAGAGGACCCCCUAACUCUGUUUCUAUAAUGUUUCUUCUGAGUAAACAAGCAAAUAAAUUAAAACUUUCAACAACGGAUCUCUUGGCUCUGGCAUCGAUGAAGAACGCAGCGAAAUGCGAUAAGUAAUGUGAAUUGCAGAAUUCAGUGAAUCAUCGAAUCUUUGAACGCACAUUGCGCCCGCCAGUAUUCUGGCGGGCAUGCCUGUUCGAGCGUCAUUACAACCCUCAGGCCCCCGGGCCUGGCGUUGGGGAUCGGCGGAAGCCCCCUGCGGGCACAACGCCGUCCCCCAAAUACAGUGGCGGUCCCGCCGCAGCUUCCAUUGCGUAGUAGCUAACACCUCGCAACUGGAGAGCGGCGCGGCCACGCCGUAAAACACCCAACUUCUGAAUGUUGACCUCGAAUCAGGUAGGAAUACCCGCUGAACUUAAGCAU